rnacentral:rRNA from 1 species
GAACGAACGCUGGCGGCGUGGAUAAGACAUGCAAGUCGAGCGGAAAGGCCUCUUCGGGGGUACUCGAGCGGCGAACGGGUGAGUAACACGUGAGUAACCUGCCCUAGGCUUUGGGAUAACCCUCGGAAACGGGGGCUAAUACCGGAUAUUCAUGCAUUGCGGCAUCGUGGUGUGUGGAAAGUUUUUCGGCUUGGGAUGGGCUCGCGGCCUAUCAGCUUGUUGGUGGGGUGAUGGCCUACCAAGGCGACGACGGGUAGCCGGCCUGAGAGGGCGACCGGCCACACUGGGACUGAGACACGGCCCAGACUCCUACGGGAGGCAGCAGUGGGGAAAAUUGCACAAUGGGCGGAAGCCUGAUGCAGCGACGCCGCGUGAGGGAUGACGGCCUUCGGGUUGUAAACCUCUUUCGACAGGGACGAAGCGUGAGUGACGGUACCUGUGGAAGAAGCGCCGGCCAACUACGUGCCAGCAGCCGCGGUAAUACAGAGGUCUCAAGCGUUGUUCGGAUUCAUUGGGCGUAAAGGGUGCGUAGGCGGCGCGGUAAGUCGGGUGUGAAAUCUCGGAGCUUAACUCCGAAACUGCAUUCGAUACUGCCGUGCUUGAGGACUGGAGAGGAGACUGGAAUUUACGGUGUAGCGGUGAAAUGCGUAGAUAUCGUAAGGAACACCAGUGGCGAAGGCGGGUCUCUGGACAGUUCCUGACGCUGAGGCACGAAGGCCAGGGGAGCAAACGGGAUUAGAUACCCCGGUAGUCCUGGCAGUUAACGGUGCACGUUUGGUGUGGGAGGACUCGACCCCUUUUGCGCCGGAGCUAACGCGUUAAACGUGCCGCCUGGGGAGUACGGUCGCAAGAUUAAAACUCAAAGAAAUUGACGGGGGCCCGCACAAGCGGUGGAGUAUGUGGCUCAAUUCGAUGCAACGCGAAGAACCUUACCAGGCCUUGACAUGCAUCUCUAAGUUGGUGAAAGCCAGCGAGUCCCGAAAGGGACAAUUUGCACAGGUGCUGCAUGGCUGUCGUCAGCUCGUGUCGUGAGAUGUUGGGUUAAGUCCCGCAACGAGCGCAACCCCUGUGAACUGUUGCCACGGAACCGAGAGGUUCCAGCACUCUGUUCAGACUGCCCCGCUCUAACGGGGAGGAAGGUGGGGAGGACGUCAAGUCUGUAUGGCCCUUACGGCCUGGGCUGCACACGUACUACAAUGCCCAGUACAGAACGAUCCAAGACCGCGAGGUGGAGGAAAUCACUAAAACUGGGCCCAGUUCAGAUUGAAGUCUGCAACUCGACUUCAUGAAGCCGGAAUCGCUAGUAAUGGCGUAUCAGCUACGACGCCGUGAAUACUUCCCGGGCCUGUA